rnacentral:rRNA from 1 species
CUCAGUCCCAAUGUGGCUGAUCAUCUCUCAGACCAGCUAUGGAUCGUCGCCUUGGUAGGCCUCUACCCCACCAACUAGCUAAUCCAACGCGGGCCAACCCUUCCCCGCUAACUCUCUCCCCCGUAGGGCGUAUGCGGUACCAAUCCCAGUCUCCCGGAGCUAUUCCGCAGGCAAGGGUAUGUUCCCACGCGUUACUCACCCGUCUGCCACUGCUUGCGGGGCGUUCGACUUGCAUGUGUUAAGCCUGCCG